UGAUUUAAUUUUUUUAUUUUUUCCGUGUCUUCAAAAAAUGUAUUUUAGCAACUGAUGCGUGUGUGAUUGCUUCAAGCUGCUCAGAAAUUUCAGAUGAUCAAGACUUCUCAUUGAUCAGACUGUGAUAUCUUCUCUCAGGCAAAAUAAACCCAAGAAUGCUGUAUUUAGCUUCUUGUAGGAAUAUUCUUUCCAUGUUUAUAAGUGAUUGUAGCAGUAAUUUUACCAGUUCUUAAGUAAUUUGGAAUUUCAAAGUAUUUCUAAGGGUGCAUUUGUUUCUGUUCUAGUUGUCUGAUGCUUUUUAUUUAUUUUACAUUCACCUUUUGGUUUGACUGCUGUUUUUCCUGGUGUCUUAGAAACUUUGUGACACAAACUGUAGCAUUCUGAUUGUAAAGAUUUUGCAAGUUCUUUUGCUGCUAUUGCAUUCUUUAGUUUUCAAAUGCUGUUUCUAAAUGUAUUUUUUUUCUUAUAAAAAGAACAGCGUGAUAACACUGUCUCUUUUAACAGAAGGAGAAUGAAAAUUGGGAGUGGAAAAAUCCAAGGGUCAGUGUCAUUAUCCUGCAGCAAUAAUUUCCUGAUCUUUGAUGUUGAUAUGGCAGCAUAUUGGUAUGGCAGCUUUGAAUUUCAGAUGUGGUCAUGUGCACCUCAAAGGAAAAUCUUUGCUUCUGGAGAUCCCUUGGUUGUUUCUACUGGACACCAAGAUAAUGGCAUGUACUGCAGAGAGAACUAUGCAUGCCUGUAGUAGUAGCCUGUGGAUCCCAUGAUGGCAUGAUGGACCGUUCAUUUUUCCCUACAGCUAUGCCAUCCAAAAGAUACUAGCAAAACCUUCUGGACAGUUAAAAUUGGGGAUUUGUUGAGGUAUCAAACAAGAGCUGCCAAAGGACAACUCUCCAACUCUUCUUGGAAGAGGAUCAAUUUCCUUGUCAGAUUUUGGCUAGGAAAAUAACCACAUGCAAAGCUCCUUCACUGCUCUUUUUUGAUAUGAAAAAUUUUGAAAGGAAAUGUGCCAUUUCUGGAAUGAAUUUCAACAAAUGAUGGACUGUCUCUUAAAACUUCCUUUAACACCUUUGCAUUGAUUAGACCUUCUGUAAUCUCUUUGCAGCAGUGCUGUAAACCAGCAGUACAUAUAGCAUCUUUGGUGAAUCAAGGUUGACAGGUUCAAGUGUUUAUAUUAAUAUCUGCAAUUCCCACGUUUAUCUUUCUUUGGGAGGAGUUAGACCAUGCAUAAUUUUCUUGGAAAAGCCAAAAUAAUUUUCUUGCUUUUAUCAAUAAACUGUUUGACUAGUCUUAUGGGCUGUUUGUUCCAACAGUGUAUAUGGUCUGAAAGGGCUUUUUAUAUACUUAAAGGGAUCAUAUUACUAUUCAGAUUUA